UAAUCUGCGAUAAGCGCCGGUAAGGUGAUAUGAACCGUUAUAACCGGCGAUUUCCGAAUGGGGAAACCCAGUGUGACUCGUCACACUAUCAUUAACUGAAUCCAUAGGUUAAUGAGGCGAACCGGGGGAACUGAAACAUCUAAGUACCCCGAGGAAAAGAAAUCAACCGAGAUUCCCCCAGUAGCGGCGAGCGAACGGGGAGGAGCCCAGAGCCUGAAUCAGCAUGUGUGUUAGUGGAAGCGUCUGGAAAGGCGCGCGAUACAGGGUGACAGCCCCGUACACAAAAGCGCAUGUGCUGUGAGCUCGAUGAGUAGGGCGGGACACGUGGUAUCCUGUCUGAAUAUGGGGGGACCAUCCUCCAAGGCUAAAUACUCCUGACUGACCGAUAGUGAACCAGUACCGUGAGGGAAAGGCGAAAAGAACCCCGGCGAGGGGAGUGAAAAAGAACCUGAAACCGUGUACGUACAAGCAGUGGGAGCCCCACCACUAAGCCAGUGGUGAACUCCACAUACGCAUCCUUUGCUGAGGAUACGGUUAACGGAGCGAAAGCGACGUUCAACCUCAAAAGAAGCAGAGGGGGCUUAGUGGUGGGGUGACUGCGUACCUU
rnacentral:rRNA from 1 species